AGAAGAAAGAGAGCUGUAUACCUAGGAGACUACAGCAACAAAUUUAGAGCAACCACAUCAGUCCAUGUAUUUUACACAUCUAUUUUUACACUAAAAGCCUACUUUUUCUAUUUUACACAUUCACUUUUACAAAACACCCACAUCAGUUCAUCUAUUUUAUCACCUCCUUUAUUUAAAUAAUCAAUUUUUUCAAUUUUUUUUAUUAUUUCCUCAACUAACCACUUUAUUAUACGCGCGUUCUCAUUUUUUCUAUACAACUCUCUCUUUCUUUUCUGAUAAAGCUCUCUCUUUUCUGAUAAAGCUCUCUCUCUCUCUCUCCGGGAACCCAUUUUUAGUUCUCAUUUUUUCUUUUCUGAUAAAGCUCUCUCUCUCUCUCUCUCUGGGAACCCAUCUCUGGGAACCCAUUAUUUCUUUUCUGAUAAAGCUCUCUCUCUCUCUUUGGGAACCCAUUUUUCGUUCUCAUUUUUUCUUUUCUGAUAAAGCUCUCUCUCUGAACCCAUUUUUGGUUCUCAUUUUUUCUGAUGAAGCUCUCUCUCUCUCUCUCUCUCUCUCUCUCUCUCUCUCUCUCUCUCUCUCUCUUCUGAUACAGCUCUCUACACCCAUAACCCAUCUCUAUACCCAAAUCUGAAUCAACUCUCCCUCUCGGUCUAUACCAAUCCAUAGCUCCGAUCCACAGCUCCGAUCCACAAGCACUGAUCAGUUAUUGUAUCUUCCUAGCUCCAAUCAGUUGAGUUUGGUUAAUACUCUGUGCUAGAUUGCGGUGUUUGGUGGUGGCGCUAGGUUGGUGGUUGGGUGGUUAUUCUGGCGCGCUGGGUUGUUGUAAUGGUUGGGGAAGAGAAGUCAUUUGACAGGGGAGAGAAAAUAAUGUAAAAAAAAUUGUUUAUACGGUGAACAGUAACCAUGUAUAUAUGCACGGUUACUGUUCAUUUUGCAAGACAUCGUGUAUAUUUAGACAUUUUUACAUGAACUGAUGUGGAAGAAUUUUGGGGGAAAAUGUGUAAAUUGGAGCACUUUUUGUAUUUUAGAUGAGGAUCCACGAGCUGGUAUGGAUGCUCUUAUGUACUAAUGUGUUUGGAUGAUAUGAUUUGAGUAUUUGGAUUUGGAUUUUGGUGAUUAAAA